GACGAACGCUGGCGGCGUGCUUAACACAUGCAAGUCGUACGGUAAGGCCCUUUCGGGGGUACACGAGUGGCGAACGGGUGAGUAACACGUGAGUAACCUGCCCACAUCUUUGGGAUAACGCUCGGAAACUGGUGCUAAUACUGGAUAUAUGCUCCUGCUGCAUGGUGGGGGUUGGAAAGAUCCGGCGGGUGUGGAUGGACUCUCGGCCUAUCAGCUUGUUGGUGGGGUAGUGGCCUACCAAGGCGGCGACGGGUAGCCGGCCCGGGAGGGUGACCGGCCACAUUGGGACUGGGAUACGGCCCAGACUCCUACGGGGGGCAGCAGUGGGGAAUAUUGCACAAUGGGCGCCAGCCUGAUGCAGCCGCGCCGCGGGCGGGAUGACGGCCUUCGGGUUGUAAACCGCUUUCAGCAGGGACGAAGCUUUUUGUGACGGUACCUGCAGAAGAAGCACCGGCUAACUACGUG
rnacentral:rRNA from 1 species